GAUGAACGCUGGCGGCGUGCCUAAUACAUGCGAGUCGAGCGAACAGACGAGGAGCUUGCUCCUCUGACGUUAGCGGCGGACGGGUGAGUAACACGUGGAUAACCUACCUAUAAGACUGGGAUAACUUCGGGAAACCGGAGCUACUACCGGAUAAUAUAUUGAACCGCAUGGUUCAAUAGUGAAAGACGGUUUUGCUGUCACUUAUAGAUGGAUCCGCGCCGCAUUAGCUAGUUGGUAAGGUAACGGCUUACCAAGGCAACGAUGCGUAGCCGACCUGAGAGGGUGAUCGGCCACACUGGAACUGAGACACGGUCCAGACUCCUACGGGAGGCAGCAGUAGGGAAUCUUCCGCAAUGGGCGAAAGCCUGACGGAGCAACGCCGCGUGAGUGAUGAAGGUCUUCGGAUCGUAAAACUCUGUUAUUAGGGAAGAACAAAUGUGUAAGUAACUAUGCACGUCUUGACGGUACCUAAACAGAAAGCAACGGCUAACUACGUG
rnacentral:rRNA from 1 species